rnacentral:lncRNA from 1 species
CCACAUUCACAAAAUGGCAAGCGUUAGCAUACACAGAAGUUAAGAUAAACAUUUACUGUUCAGUCCUAUUGUUUAGAUGAACAGGAAAUGUUUUUGUUAAACAAUCUCGUUUUAUAAAUGUCAAUUCGCUCAGCUCCAGGUUUCUGCAGUGCUGUUACAGUAGUUGUAUAAUCUGGCUUUCGAUCCAAUCGUUAGCCUUGGUUUCAGUAUGAUUCCCGUGGCAAUUUUGCUUGUUAAUUUCUCCUACAAUUUCAUUUGAAUGUUUUCUCAGGUGCCGAUUGUUCACUGCCACGAGGGAAAUGUUUAGCACAGACUUAGAGCCAGGCCUUUUCCUCUGUGAGACUAAUGCAAUACUAACGUCAUGCUUCUCAGGUACAAACGCUUCUAAAGCAAUACCCGUCGAUCCUGAGAGACUCAGUUCAUGGAGGUGACAUGGUCCCAGCGUGUGAGCAGUGAGCCGGGGACGGCUUUGAACCAGGGACCCUCCCGUCUCAGUUCAGGAAACUGGGCUGCUGGGCUUUUACAUGGGAAAUGGGCAGAUACUGCUUCAAGGCCUCCCCAGAGAGGUAGAAGUAGAGGACCAGAUAGAAGGACAAAAAUGGAAAGCGAGAGAAUUAAAGGUCGGAAUUUGUGGAGUUGAUUUGUCAUUUCUUUGCAGCAAAUGAAGUAAUGACUCCUUGCGUACAGAGUGAUUGAAAGUUCACUUGAUCAGGCCUACAGUUCCAGCAGUCAGCCAAGUGGUUGCAGGUAUAUCUUGAAGUUGUCUCCCACCAAGUUCUGAAAGUCAUUAAAUCCGUAAUAACCCAGUAAUAUGUUCAGGGAGGCAGAAAGGCCCUGGCCUGGCACAGAUGUUGGGCCAGAUCCUGAUUGAACAGAGUGGUGCCCUGCCAUGAUCUCAGACCACUAGAUCUGUCUUCAAAUUGCCCCUGUAUUCCAUAUAGUGCCCUACUUUUGCCCAUCAUGUUCCCUAUAUAGUACACUACUAUUAACCACCAUAUUCCCUAUAUAGUGCUCUACUUUUGAUGUGCCCCAAAGGCACUCGUUCAAACGAGUGCACUACUUAUGUAAUAGGGGUGUAUUUGGGUUGCAGAACUGAGCACAGCGGCUGAACAGAAGAUUUACAUCUCUCAUUGCACUGCGCUGGGAUUUGAUGGUUCCCACAUGGUGUAUAAUUUCCGUGAGUUGAAAUGCAAGGGCGCGACAGGUUAAUUAUGAGGCCGAUUUAUUCAGAAUGUCAGGCCGCAAUAAAGCUAGUCAGGGUCGUGCGUGCAUGCAUGUGGAUGUGUGUGUGUGGGAAUGUGUCUGAAUGAGGCCGUCCACUUCCGAAACCGAACAUACAGGUGGGGUCUGUCUAUUUUUUUUGGUUCAUAAAUAAUUAAUGUGUUAAUUGUCUCAAACUCUACACGGACAAUCCAUGAUUGAGUCAAAAUGUCCUUCCCCUCAGUUGAUUUUUAAUUGUCUCUAAAUAAAUGUGUUCAAAACACAAAACUGAGAAUGUCAUCAGCAAUGAAAUAGAAUGAAUAAUAUUUGUAUUCUAUGGGCUUCACCGAGAUAAUAUUGUGGGAAACUGUUUGCGUAAACAUUUUAUUAACCUGGGUGACAAAGCACAUACAAUAAUUUGUUUCGCUAUGUUUUGCUAUUUCUUAUUUUAUGGUGGCCAAAAGCAGGAGCUACAUAAUUGAUAUGGAUCCAGUACUAUUGUCACAGAUAUUCUGCACCAUAUUAAAGGUGUAAAGACUCCAUUUGAGCCAGUUUCUUUUUUUACAGCAAGAAUAUAAUCCUGUAGCAACUGGAAAUGAGAUGAAUUAUGCUGAGGAUCGUUCAUUUCCAUCUUUGUAAGGGUAGAGCCACU